UGGGGAAUAUUGGACAAUGGGGGGAACCCUGAUCCAGCCAUGCCGCGUGUGUGAAGAAGGCCUUAUGGUUGUAAAGCACUUUAAGCGAGGAGGAGGGUACUGGUAUUAAUACUACCAGCUACUGGACGUUACUCGCAGAAUAAGCACCGGCUAACUCUGUGCCAGCAGCCGCGGUAAUACAGAGGGUGCGAGCGUUAAUCGGAUUUACUGGGCGUAAAGCGUGCGUAGGCGGCUAAUUGAGUCGGAUGUGAAAUCCCCGAGCUUAACUUGGGAAUUGCAUUCGAUACUGGUUAGCUAGAGUGUGGGAGAGGAUGGUAGAAUUCCAGGUGUAGCGGUGAAAUGCGUAGGGAUCUGGAGGAAUACCGAUGGCGAAGGCAGCCAUCUGGCCUAACACUGACGCUGAGGUACGAAAGCAUGGGGAGCAAACAGG
rnacentral:rRNA from 1 species